GAAUAGCUGGGUGAACAGCCAAGGGAGAAAGGGAAGGGAUGGUUUCUAUCAUUGGAUUGAACUGUAAAGGAGCUGCAGGGUGACAGAUGUUGGCAGGAAUUCCAGUAGAGUUUGUGUGUACAGUGACUCCCUAGCAGAGCUGACACCUGCACAGGCUAGGUGUACACCCUAGCAGAAGGAAAGGUGGGGCAUUUGCCAGAGGUACAUACCAAGGCAUUUGUAAAGUUGAGGCUGCUGGUAAAGUUCCAAGAAGCCCUUUUUAAGGCUGAGUAGAGGGAGGAGAAGCCAAGGGCAACCCAAGGCCAUCUCACCACUACUCCGAGGAAUGGUCCAUGGAGACAACAGAUUCAAGAGCACAUAUAAUGCAAGUUCCUUGAUUCAUGCUGUCUAUUGGCUGGGAACUUUGAGCUCUUCCUUGGAGGAGGGAGGGUGAUCAGGUUGUCUGUGUUUUGUUGGGAGGCCAUAUUAUUGCUGAAGGGAUUGAAGAAUUUUC
rnacentral:antisense_RNA from 1 species